AUCAGGGGAGAAAAUAGUGAGCAAUCUUUUAUAUGUCCAAAAGCAAGUUUCUGCAAUUGAAUCAAACAACAAAAGUUCAACCCAACAAUAACCUAGAAUGCCACGUCAAACUUUGAUGACAGGUCCCUUUUAACUACUACAAAAAGAACAUUUUUGUUCACAAGGAUCGCUAAUUGAAAGAUGUCCAAUUUUCACAAAUAUGGCAUUUAAAGGGAACUAUGCAGAUAAUUGUACCCACACACAUUCAACAUA